CCGAGGCCGGCCGGCGCUCACCUUUGUUCGCCGGCGCUCGCGGCGGGGAGAGAGCCGGCCCAGGAGGAGUGCGGACGGCGACCCCAACGCUCCGCGGCCCCUCCCAGGCGCCCCGGAGGAAAUCCGUAGGCUAGCCAGAUCCUCCCAGGCUCCCCGAACGGCAGCCGGGCUGAGGGGUCGGCAGCCCCCUCCCGAACACAAAGGACUACUGCUGUCCAGUAGGUUCUGCUGUGCCUCUAAGCAUAUGCAACAGGAAGUGCGGAAUUUCAUCCUGACUGCCAAACCUAUAGACCCGUGAAGACUUCAGACCCACCACCAAGGCAAGGCAAGCAACCUUUCAUAGACUACUUCAUCAGCACCCACAAUUGUGAGAAAAGGUUUUGGAAGACCAUAAUUCCUCCAUGUCAAAUUUGAAAAUUUUGUUUCCAAAUUGACUCCUUGCUAGCUUGAGUAGCCAAAAUCUGAGUCACAUGAAGAAGAAAUGAAUAACACCGCGUGCAGUUCCGUGGCACUAAGGACUGAGGUGCAGCCGUCACCACCAUCCAUGUCCACAGCCCUUUCAUCUUGCAAAACUGAAAG